rnacentral:rRNA from 1 species
UAACACAUGCAAGUCGAACGAAGUAGCAAUACUUAGUGGCAGACGGGUGAGUAACACGUAGUCAACCUACCUCAGCGUGGGGGAUAACUAGCCGAAAGGUAGCUAAUACCGCAUACGAUCGCUCAGUGGCAUCAUCGAGCGAUGAAAGGAGCAAUCCGCGCAGAGAGGGGACUGCGUCCCAUUAGUUAGUUGGUGGGGUAAUGGCCUACCAAGACUCCGAUGGGUAGCUGGCUUGAGAGAGCGACCAGCCACACUGGAACUGAGACACGGUCCAGACUCCUACGGGAGGCAGCAGUGAGGAAUUUCCCGCAAUGGGGGAAACCCUGACGGAGCGACGCCGCGUGUGGGAAGAAGGCCUUCGGGUCGUAAACCACUGUCGAGGGGGACGAUAUUGACGGUACCCCUGGAGGAAGCCCCGGCUAACUACGUGCCAGCAGCCGCGGUAAGACGUAGGGGGCAAGCGUUGUCCGGAAUUAUUGGGCGUAAAGCGCUCGUAGGUGGAUCGGUAAGUCUGCAAAGAAAGACCCGGGCUCAACUCGGGGAAC